UGCUCGGCCGGAACCUUGUUGCCAGGGGAGACCGGCGCUUUACGGCAGGACGUUUUGAAUGGCGGCGGGGGAAAAGUUGCGGCCGCAGGUCUAAUCAAGAGGCAGACAGCUGGACGGGAGUGAUGCUGUGCUCUCACUCUAAGCGAAAUCUGACAUUCUGGGGCUUUCCUUAAUCGUACUUUCUGCUUUUAUGAAGAGAAGAGAAAUUGGAGUUGAAAGAUUUACAAGGAGAACAAUGACCCAGAAAUACACAGCUUGACUGCAGCUAGCUGAGGAACUAAUCUUGAAUAAAAUGUGGAUUUUAGAGAUAUCAGCAUACAGUUUUAGUGCCCUUCCAGGUGGUCUUUCAAUUUCUAUUUUUGCUUCCAAGGGAAUUGAACAAGUUUUGAAGGUGUACCCUGAGAUGUUGUACAGUCUCAAAAAAAUGGUAAAGCCACUUGAAAUUUGCAAGUUCACUUAGAGCAGAGUUUGUAAAUAUUUAUCAAGAGAAAUGAUCCCUUUUUCACUUUCCUCAGCUUAUUUUUUUUUCUGUUUCUGUACUUUCCUAUGAAUUUAUUUGUUCAUUUAAAGCUUAAAGCUAUGAUUCCUGCUUGCAAGCUUUAAGUAUAAGGAGGUAAACCUCCAUAAAGCAUCAAUGUGUACAUACCUAUUUAUAGCUGUAAUGACUUGCAUGCAUACAAUUGGCUUUUCAAAAAAAUUCCUUGUUACAAAAAGUGUUUGUGAAAAUCACAAAGGCCUUCAAAACCAUUUUGUUUCUCUUGCUCUCCUUUUGCCCUACUUGUUGCAUAUUGUUUUUCUCUUGAAAGCAAUUAACCUGUGCUGAUACCUAUGUCAGGCUGAUGUGCUGUAUAAACUAAAUGUGUAAAAAUAUAAUGAGGGCCUACAAUUCCAUUCUUAUGUUAAUUUUAACUUUAACUGUGAUCUCUGUUUCAGAGCUUUCAGACAAGCAAAAAUUGAUUUUAGAGAGGGAAAAAGUUUGAAAAAGUCAUUCCACAUUCUUCAUCCAAAAGGCAAAGCUCGUAUGGUCUAAGUGUAAUUGCAGUGCAAAUUUGGGUACAAGCAUUGGGUCGUGAACAGUUGUGAUUUUUUCGUUUGUUUUCAACAUACCCAGAACUCAGUUGAGAAUGUCUGGUUCAAUAUUUUCUACGAGAUGCAGUAGCAAAAUACUGUAUCAAAAUACUAUUUUUAGUUUUAAAUUACAUCCGAACUUGUGACUGAUCAAAUUACAGUUGUAGCACAGUUAGAUUACCCAGUUUUAUUAGUAGCACAUUUUCCAUUCAUCUUUGUUUAUGAUGAUUCUGCGUAAGUGUUCUUAUCCAUUAUAUUAUCUAAUUAAACACUAUUGUGAAUAUUU
rnacentral:lncRNA from 1 species